GGCAUUUGAUAAAAUGGAAACAAAAGAAAGACAUAACAAAGAAAAAUCGAUGCUUUCCUACUUUCAUUAUUGAAAGAGCUUUUCCUUUGGUAAAGAAUAAGAUGAACCCGUACAGAGGUAGUGAAAACGUCAAGAGAUGUGCUUCGCUUUGAAAGAUGCUUUUUGGAGUCACAGGUUGGGCCAUUUUUUGUCUUCAGCCAAGCUAUGCAAACUAAAGAGGAAGAGUUCUUUAUCUGGGGUGUAAAUGAUUCUGAGCCUAUGCUCCAUGGAAGUCAACAAUGGUUUAGAGCCUUAUCUGUUGGUGAGCUUGCAUGGAGUCAACAAGGACACAUGACUAUUAAGAGGCUAGAAAUUGAGUAUCCAGUGGAGUUCAUCCUUGACAAGGUCUCUUCAAAUGGCUCAGACUGACUGGCAAUCCUUUGGUCUUCACUUCUUGAAUGUUGGGAUACUAGGCCUCUGCCAAUGUGCUACAGUAGACUUUUAGUAGUUACCAGGGGAUCUAGAAGUAUCCUGAUGGACUUUUGACUAAGGACGCCAGAUGAUUCUCAAUCUCAUCAAAUUAACAAUCAAAAUCAACCACACAUCCCCAAAGAAGAGAAUUCUGGACCCAGAAAACAGAACUGGCAUGUGAUCUUUUCACAAGCAGAAAGGGUGAGCCACAGCUUCUAUCUCUUCCUUCCAUUACAAAUUGAUGUAUUAUUUAAGGAUGAGGGCCUGGAACUCUUGUCAAUCUUUGAGUGCUGGUAAUCUAUCCAACAAACAUGGUAUCUUUUAAAAUUCACACACACACAUACCAAAAAAAAAAAAAAAAAGCUUUCUUGUUCAGAAGGGAUUGCUUUGUUAUAACUGCUUUUAAAAUAACUGUUGUUCUGAUAGAGUUGAAGAGCCUGGGUGGUCAGGGACCUUGGAAGUAUAUUUUCUUGUCUUGGCUACAUUUUUUUCCUAGCCCAUGGAAUAGCGGUUUAUUUAAUCUGCUUGCAGUUGACACAUGUCUCCAUCCACUUCCCAGAGAAAUCCGAGCUAACUAAAAUAAGUCCUGUGUAAAUAAAUGUCUCCAAUCUAACCCCUACAGUAAUAUCGCCUCUUAGAUUUUCCUUGAAGAUCUGUCAGCAGAUCUGCAACUCUGGAACCCACCCCAAUCGGAGCUGUUGCUCAAGUGCAGCCUGGUAUAAACUCUGAAAGAUGGGCCAUCCUCAGGCACGCUCUUCCUCCACCACACAAAGAGCUCCUCCCCAUCAGUCAAGUCAGCAACUGUGGAGCUUGGGUCCCGUGCCAGAUUCUUGGCUACAAAUGAAAGGAUAGAAGUAAUCCUGUCCCUUUAGCAGCUCAUGUGCUGACUGGGAAAGCAGAGUUAUGAAAAGACUGCAACCAUUGGAAGCGUGUCCAACCAAUCAUGCUGUGGGAUGUUCUGUAUGGCAAAUGUGUUGCUAAUUAGUCAAUAAAUAAAACACUGAUUGGCCAUUGGCUAGGCAGGAAGUGUAGGUGGGACAAGGAGGAGAAUAAAGCUGGGAAGUGGAAGGCUGAGUCAGAGAGACACUGCCAGCCACCACGAUGAAAAAUAGCAUGUGAAGAUGCUGGUAAGCCACGAGCCACGUGGCAAGGUAUAGAUUAAUGGAGAUGGAUUAAUUUAAGCUGUAAGAACAAUUAGCAAGAAGCCUGCCACGGCCAUACAGUUUGUAGCCAAUAUAAGUGUCUGUGUUUACUUGGUCGGGUCUGAGCAGCUGUGGGACUGGCAGGUGAGAGAGAUUUAUCCUGACUGUGGGCCAGGCAGGAAAACUUAAGCUACAAAUGGCGUCCAAUGUGGUGGCAAGAGUUUCCAUCUAAAAACUGAGAAAAAAGAUUCUAAAACAGAGCUAAAAACAGUUCCUAAUUGUCUCUCUCAAAUGAGCAGCAGCUGCCGGUUUGAGCUACGUGUGGGUUUCUGGUGUGCGUGCUUGACCUGCAGUAUGGCAGUAAUGAGGCCUCUGCACGUGGCACAUUAAGCUGCGUGGUGGAUUUAGCCUUUCCAGGUACAAAACAAAAAAAAGAGGUUUCUGGACUACAAGCUGCUUGGAUAAAAGCAUAGACCCAUGAUAGCUCCCAGAGCUGGUGGUAAAGUACCACCGCCAUGUUGGGAAGCUGAGGUGGGCGGAGUCUGCAGCCACAGCUGCUGCAGUUUAAGGCAAUAGAUUCACAAUAAGACAGAUUCAGAUGUAAUAGUUUACAAUGUGUGUAAAAUAUACGUAGGCAUAAAAGAGACAAAAAAGGUGAUAUAUAGAGUUAUAGAAACAAAUACAUAGUUUUAAAAAAUAAAGUCUUUAAAGAGACAGUAAAGGUAAUAUAAAAAAUAAGCCACGUAAAGAUGAAUAUUACACAGAGAAUCUGGAUUGUGUUGUCUUUGGGAUUUUUAACUGCAGAAAAACAUUUGAUUGUAAAAGCUGUUGAGUUAUGCCAAAAUGUAUAUUUUAAAGAUACCUUGACUUCAAAAUUUGGAUAUAAGGAUAUGUUGCUUUGGAAAAGAGUCUCUUUUGUUUCCACAGAAAGCCAGAGGCUAUGGAUUUGUUCAAGAUUAAGAUACAUCAGGUUUGACCAGCCAAGACCCCCUGAAAGGUUUCCAAUGACACGAUGGCCCAGAUGAUCCAACAUCCAGAAUGGUUUGAAGGCAACUGGCUCAGACGAUACAGCCUCAUGGACUAUUCCAUAAUCCUAAAAUUUUCUUUGUUUCCCCAUAAGAUACAGCGCCCCCCUCCAGCAGGAAGUAGUAAGAGAAGCUAUGCCCAAAUUCCCAAAUUAUAUGUUAUUUUACUUUGUUAAGGUUAAAACCUUCCUUUUUGGAAAAAAAAAAGGGGGGGGGAAGUGCUGUGGGAUGUUCUGUAUGGCAAAUGUGUUGCUAAUUAGUCAAUAAAUAAAACACUGAUUGGCCAUUGGCUAGGCAGGAAGUGUAGGCGGGACAAGGAGGAGAAUAAAGCUGGGAAGUGGAAGGCUGAGUCAGAGAGACACUACCAGCCACCACGAUGAGAAACAGCAUGUGAAGAUGCCGGUAAGCCACGAGCCAUGUGGCAAGGUAUAGAUUAAUGGAGAUGGAUUAAUUUAAGCUGUAAGAACA